rnacentral:miRNA from 1 species
GAGUCGCGUUUCGCGAAUUUG